CUUUUGUUUCCCUCUUUUUUUUUUGUUUCUGCUUUUCCCACUUUCCUUUCCCUCUCUUUUCUUCUGGUUCGUUCAUCAUCUGCCAUCCAUGGCCCUUUCCCUUUCAAAUGCUACUUUUCCUCUAAAGAUCGCCGGCUUUCGGUCGCUCUCCAUUUCUUCUUCUUCUUCUCCUCCUGCAUCCUUGAGAGUUGUGACUCUCGGCAUAAGGAGGAGGAUUUGUUCUUUCGCUUAUUCUUUUACUUUUCGAUUUUCUUUUCUUGGCACUCGAUUCGAUAACUGGCCUUGGCCUUGGCUUUGGCUCUGGAUUGAUUGCCUAAAGCAUUCGUUGACUCUCUUUUCUUACUUUUGAUUCUUACGAAAGUAUCGAUUUGAGUGCGUUGAUUGAGCGAUUGUGUUCGCGAGGGAAAAGGUGAAGCUGCCAGCAUGAUCUACCUAUGGUCGGCUAGGUUAAGUGAAAAAGAGAAAAGUUAAAAGAUAAAGAGAUUGAAAUGAAUUUGCCUUUAUUGCUAACCCUAGUUAGGUCAUGCUCUGACAGCCUCACUCCUUCCUACUUCCGAACUGUGGUGAAAUUUCUUAUCUGCUCCAUUUCCACGAGGAUUAUGGGUGUGCGAUUGCUACUUUUUGUCGUCUCUGCUUUUCAUGUACACGAAGAUAAUGGGUGAUGGUUCGCUUCGAUUCGCUUUUGUUGUUAGUUUUAUUAUUGAAUCGGUUAUAGGCUUGUUGCUAGGCGUGCAAUCGCAACUUUUAUCCUCUCUGCUUUUCUCUUUAUUUUAUUGUUUGUUGCUUCUUUUUUGUUUGUUUGCUUGUUUUGUUUAGAGAGUUGAAUUUCUUUCACUUUUGCUUUUAUUUGCUGCCAAAGCAUGCUUUUCCUGCCGGUGCUUGGUGGUGGGGAACCACCGUCCUGUUGCUCUGUUGUUUUUUGGCCUAAUGUUUUUAAAUGUGCUUUUGCUUGUACGGCUUUAUGCUGUGGUUGGCUGACUCUCUUCAUUUUUCUAUUGGAUCUAAAUCAUGUCUAGAGUUUCUCGUUAGGUUUCAGAUUUGUUCAACUUUUCGCUGGGUCCAGCCGCUCUGUAGAUUAACUCCUUGUUUUUCUUCA